rfam:Gossypium raimondii scaffold_723_contig_1, whole genome shotgun sequence.
GGGUACGAUCAUACCAGCACUAAUGCACCAGAUCCCAUCAGAACUAUGCAGUCAAGCAUGCCUGGGCAAGAGUAGUACUUGUAUGGGUGACCUUCUGGGAAGUCCACAUAUUGCACCCC